rnacentral:lncRNA from 1 species
UCCAACUCCUCGGGUCGUCACUCCUCGGCCUCCUUCUGAAGUGGUUGACCUCGAGGAUGACCCGUCUCUCACCGGGGACUUUGAGACUUGCCACCUCGCUCCUGAGCUCGUAAACAAAUACAAAGAGGAGGUCAAGCUUGAGGAUGGGAUGAAGGUCCUCGAGGGCCUUACAGUGAAGGUAAUCUUCGAACUUUUGACUUUAGCCUCGAGUUUAUUGGUCGAGCUUAACACUUGACAUUUUCUUCAUUUUUUCCAGAUGUUGAGUAUAGCUCGAGGACUCUCUCUGCAAGGGCUCGAGGAGGCCAAGAGGGCAGCUGGGGUCGAGACGUCCAUGGCCUCUAAGGACAGCAGGAUUCAAGACCUCGAGGCCCAGGUCGAGGUUUUAUUGAAGGAGCGUGAUGACGCGAGGAGGGAGGCUGCAAAGGCCAGGGAUGACUUGGUUGCAGCAAAGGAUGAGGUCGAGGGCGCGAGGCUCGAGCUCAUCCAGAAGACAGAGGAUUUCGGGCGCGAGCUCGAGGCUGUCAGGGAGAGGGCUUGGGAGGAGUUUAAAACCUCCGAGGACUGCGACAAGAUAAAAGGGGAGUAUGCG